AACGAACGCUGGCGGCAGGCUUAACACAUGCAAGUCGAGCGCCCCGCAAGGGGAGCGGCAGACGGGUGAGUAACGCGUGGGAACGUACCCUUUGCUACGGAAUAGCUCCGGGAAACUGGAAUUAAUACCGUAUGUGCCCUACGGGGGAAAGAUUUAUCGGCAAAGGAUCGGCCCGCGUUGGAUUAGCUAGUUGGUGGGGUAAUGGCCUACCAAGGCGACGAUCCAUAGCUGGUCUGAGAGGAUGAUCAGCCACAUUGGGACUGAGGCACGGCCCAAACUCCUACGGGAGGCAGCAGUGGGGAAGAUUGGACAAUGGGCGCAAGCCUGAUCCAGCCAUGCCGCGUGAGUGAUGAAGGCCUUAGGGUUGUAAAGCUCUUUCACCGGAGAAGAUAAUGACGGUAUCCGGAGAAGAAGCCCCGGCUAACUUCGUGCCAGCCGCCGCCGUAAGAC
rnacentral:rRNA from 1 species